GCCGGUAUAGCUCAGUCGGUAGAGCAACUGAUUUGUAAUCAGUAGGUCCCCAGUUCGAAUCCGGGUGCCGGCACCA
rnacentral:tRNA from 1 species